UUAUAAAUUAUCUAUAUCUCCUAAUAUUCUUGAUGUUUUCUUUGUGUGGAAGUCUAUUCAUCGACUCAGUAAACAUUUAUUCAGUGACUGUCACAUUCUGCUGCUGCUGCUGCUAAGUCACGUCAGUCAUGUCCGACUCUGUGCGACCCCAUAGACCGCAGCCCACCAGGCUUCUCUGUCUAUGGGAUUCUCCAGGCAAGAAUACUGGAGUGGGUCGCCAGUGCCUUCUCUGCUGUCACAUUCUAUGUACUUAUUUUUAGCAGAUUCCUCCAUCCUUUGUUAAUAUAGUGUCUCAAUUUUGUUCUUUCAUGCUCCUCCUUGCCAUAAGCUUCUGGGAAGGCUGGUCCCAGCCUCAGCUCAAAGCCCAGCCCCAUGGAAUGAGUUGCAAUUGGUCUACACAGAGCAGGGGUCUCAACACAAUACAGGCCCGUGGCCUGUUAGGAACCGGACCGCACGACAGGAGGGGAGCGGCAGGUGUGCGAGCCAAGCCUCAUCUGUACUUAGAGCCACUCCUCAGGGCUCACAUUCCCGCCUGAGCUCUGGCAGGUCGGUGGCGGCAUCAGAUUCUUGCCGGAGCUUGAACUCUUCUGUCAGCUGCGCAUGCGAGGGAUCUAAGUGGCGAGCUUUUUAUGAAAACCAUCCAGAAACCGUCCCUCCCCGCUCCGUGGAAAAAUUUCGUCUUCCAUGAAACCAGUCCCUGAUGCCAAAAGCUUCGGCACCCCUUUCUUAGAGCACUUAGUUGGGAAUUCUGGUGAGUUGUUUACUAGCAUAAUUAAAGUAUAUACUUAAUUUUGAUUCCAGUUGGAAGCAGAAA
rnacentral:lncRNA from 1 species